rnacentral:rRNA from 1 species
UACGAAGGGGGCUAGCGUUGCUCGGAAUUACUGGGCGUAAAGCGCACGUAGGCGGCUUUCUAAGUCAGGGGUGAAAUCCUGGAGCUCAACUCCAGAACUGCCUUUGAUACUGGAGAGCUAGAGUCCGGAAGAGGUGAGUGGAACUGCGAGUGUAGAGGUGAAAUUCGUAGAUAUUCGCAAGAACACCAGUGGCGAAGGCGGCUCACUGGUCCGGUACUGACGCUGAGGUGCGAAAGCGUGGGGAGCAAACAGG